ACCCGCUGAACUUAAGCAUAUCAAUAAGCGGAGGAAAAGAAACCAACAGGGAUUGCCCUAGUAACGGCGAGUGAAGCGGCAACAGCUCAAAUUUGAAAUCUGGCCUCUUUGGGGUCCGAGUUGUAAUUUGCAGAGGGCGCUUUGGCGUUGGCGGCGGUCCAAGUUCCUUGGAACAGGACGUCACAGAGGGUGAGAAUCCCGUACGUGGUCGCUAGCCUUCGCCGUGUAAAGCCCCUUCGACGAGUCGAGUUGUUUGGGAAUGCAGCUCUAAAUGGGAGGUAAAUUUCUUCUAAAGCUAAAUACUGGCCAGAGACCGAUAGCGCACAAGUAGAGUGAUCGAAAGAUGAAAAGCACUUUGGAAAGAGAGUCAAACAGCACGUGAAAUUGUUGAAAGGGAAGCGCUUGCAGCCAGACUUGCCUGUAGUUGCUCAUCCGGGCUUUUGCCCGGUGCACUCUUCUGCGGGCAGGCCAGCAUCAGUUUGGGCGGUUGGAUAAAGGUCUCUGUCAUGUACCUCUCUUCGGGGAGGCCUUAUAGGGGAGACGACAUGCAACCAGCCCAGACUGAGGUCCGCGCAUUUGCUAGGAUGCUGGCGUAAUGGCUGU
rnacentral:rRNA from 1 species